rnacentral:rRNA from 1 species
UGCCAGCCGCCGCGGUAAUACGGAGGGAGCUAGCGUUGUUCGGAAUUACUGGGCGUAAAGCGCACGUAGGCGGACUAUUAAGUCGAGGGUGAAAUCCCAGGGCUCAACCCUGGAACUGCCUUCGAUACUGGUAGUCUUGAGUCCGAGAGAGGUGAGUGGAAUUCCGAGUGUAGAGGUGAAAUUCGUAGAUAUUCGGAGGAACACCAGUGGCGAAGGCGACCACCUGGCCAGAUACUGACGCUGAGGUGCGAAAGCGUGGGGAGCAAACAGGAUUAGAUA